rnacentral:rRNA from 1 species
CCUACGGGAGGCAGCAGUGAGGAAUAUUGGUCAAUGGGCGAGAGCCUGAACCAGCCAAGUCGCGUGAGGGAGUACUGCCCUAUGGGUUGUAAACCUCUUUUGUCGGGGAGCAAAAGCCGGACGUGUCCGGCUGUGAGAGUACCCGAAGAAAAAGCACCGGCUAACUCCGUGCCAGCAGCCGCGGUAAUACGUAGGAUGCGAGCGUUAUCCGGAUUCAGUGGGUUUAAAGGGUGCGCAGGCGGGUUUUUAAGUCAGCGGGAAAAUCGUGGGGAUCAACCCCAUCCAGCCGUUGAAACUGGGGAUCUAGAGUGUGCGAGAGGUAUGCGGAAUGCGUGGUGUAGCGGUGAAAUGCAUAGAUAUCACGCAGAACCCCGAUUGCGAAGGCAGCAUACCGGUGCACAACUGACGCUCAGGCACGAAAGCGUGGGUAUCGAACAGGAUUAGAUACCCGAGUAGUC